UUUCUACAACAAACGAGGAAAAGACGAGGCUAGAGUUGGAGUCGUGGCUGCCUCGGAGCCAUUGGGGCGUGGAUG
rnacentral:SRP_RNA from 1 species